rnacentral:misc_RNA from 1 species
GAUGAAGAACGUAGCGAAAUGCGAUAAGUAAUGUGAAUUGCAGAAUUCAGUGAAUCAUCGAAUCUUUGAACGCACCUUGCGCCCCUUGGUUAUUCCAAAGGGCAUGCCUGUUUGAGUAUCAUAAACACCUCAACUCUUGUGGUUUCCCACAAUGAGCUUGGACUGUGGAGGUUUUGUUGGCCCUGUGGUCAGCUCCUCUCAAAUGGAUCAGCUUACCGGUGUUUGGUGGCAUUACGGGUGUGAUAACUAUCUACGCUCGUGGUCGUCUCCAAAUAACCUCCAGUGAUGGAGGUUCGCUGGAGCUUAUAAAUGUCUCUCCCCAGUGAAGACAGCCUUUGAACGUUCGAUCUCAAAUCAGGUAGGACUACCCGCUGAACUUAAGCAUAUCAAUAAGCGGAGGA